UACGGAAAAANCCCUUUGGGGAAAAAAANCCCAAAACGNNUUUUGGGNAAANGCUUCCGCAGUAGUUAGUCUUCAGUAAAUCCAAGAAUUUCACCUCUGACAANUGAAUACUGAUGCCCCCGACCGUCCCUAUUAANGAUUACGANGGUCCUAGAAACCAACAAAAUAGAACCAUGCGUCCUAUUCUAUUAUUCCAUGCUAACAGAUUCAAGCGUGCGCCUGCUUUGAACACUCUCAUUUACUCAAAGNAACAGUCCUCCUCUUAUUGCUAAGAGGAGGAGGAAAGAGGCGCCGCCUCCAGUGCUCGCCUAAGCGGACCGGCACGGCGCCUCCAAGGUUCAACUACGAGCUUUUUAACUGCAACAACUUUAAUAUACGCUCUUGGAGCUGGAAUUACCGNGGGUGCUGGCACCAGACUUGCCCUCCAAUUGUUCCUCGUNAAGGUAUUUACAUUGUACUCAUUCCAAUUACAAGACCCGAANGGGCCCUGCAUCGUUAUUUAUUGACACUACCNCCCCGUGUCGGGAUNGGGUAAUUUGCGCGCCUGCUGCCUUCCUUGGANGNGGGAAGCCGUUUNUCAGGCUCCCUCUCCGGAACCGAACCCUAAUUCCCCGUUACCCGUUGAAACCAUGGNNGGGCCUCUAUCCUACCANNGGAAAG
rnacentral:rRNA from 1 species